UAAGAAUCUGAAAACAGGCAUUUUCUGGUUUACAUUGAAACACGGGAGUCUUGAAUAUCUCUUCAGCUGCUUCCUAAUGUUUGUUCCACAGGAAGGGAGUUAGUUCGUGGCACAGUGUGCUUUAUUGUAUCUGCAUCAGCAGAGCAGAUAAGCUCAGCCUCUCUUCAUCUGAAAAAGGAACAGAGGAGCAGCACCAGGAGACAGUGCAAUAUUUCAGGAUAUUGUGAAGAUUUCAGGCAACAAGACAACUUUCAGCUGUAUCCAGCCAUUGCAGCAAUCCAGCUGUGUGAGUGUGAUUUGCCUCUUAAUCAGAGAUUUCAAAAUCAGGCUCCAUCUGCUGAAGAAUUCAAAGAUUUUGGAUUUGAGAGGCUCUUUAUGAACAUCAAACUGUGGUCCAUUUCUCUCUGGAGUAUCGUGCAGCAGCAGCUCUUCAACACCAGGGGAAGUAUGAGCUAUCCACAGACACCAGUAAAAAACCAGGCACAUGCAGGCCACACAAGGUACACAGAGCCAUCCAGGAGUCAUCAGCAACUCCAGG
rnacentral:lncRNA from 12 species